UUCCUGAAAGUACAAAAGAAAUGAAACAAGCUCCUAGUCAUAAUUGAGUCACAUCCAGCAUUAGCUAACCACAGGUGUUCAGUCAACAAUAAAUCAAAAUUUGCACUUUAGCAUCACACAGAAUGUUCAGUUUUUUAACAUGCUGCAGCGGGUCAAUGUAUUAACAGCCAUCUAGGUAUUGCCAAAAGUCAUUGUCUCACCAUUUAACACCAGAUUAAAAGGAUGUUCAAAAGGAGAGAAAUAAAUGAGGUGCAAGCCCCUGCUGAAUUGACAACGAGCCAAGAAAGAAAGAUGCCAUUGCUACCUGUAAAGGCUAAGUGAUAGUAGGUGAAAUAAACAAAGA